rnacentral:rRNA from 1 species
AUUGAACGCUGGCGGCAUGCCUUACACAUGCAAGUCGAACGGUAACAGGUCUUCGGAUGCUGACGAGUGGCGAACGGGUGAGUAAUACAUCGGAACGUGCCUAGUAGUGGGGGAUAACUACUCGAAAGAGUGGCUAAUACCGCAUGAGAUCUACGGAUGAAAGCAGGGGAUCGCAAGACCUUGCGCUACUAGAGCGGCAGAUGGCAGAUUAGGUAGUUGGUGGGAUAAAAGCUUACCAAGCCGACGAUCUGUAGCUGGUCUGAGAGGACGAUCAGCCACACUGGGACUGAGACACGGCCCAGACUCCUACGGGAGGCAGCUGUGGGGAAUUUUGGACAAUGGGCGCAAGCCUGAUCCAGCAAUGCCGCGUGCAGGAUGAAGGCCUUCGGGUUGUAAACUGCUUUUGUACGGAACGAAAAGCCCUGGGUUAAUACCCUGGGGUCAUGACGGUACCGUAAGAAUAAGCACCGGCUAACUACGUGCCAGCAGCCGCCGUAACAC